GGUGAGGGUGAGGAGCAGGGAGCCUGCCUCCUGAGGCCAGCCAGCCCAAGGCUUCCAAGGGAAAGACCAGCCUCUGGCUCAUCAGUGCUCAACUCGAAGUCAAGCCAGUGGAUGGAAGUGGAUAGAGUUGAAGACCUUACUCUCCAGAAUUCCUAUAUAAGAAUUCUCAGGGAGACAAACACCGGCUGGCUCACUCACAGCAGUCUUGCAUUUCAUCUCCUGGAUGAAACCCAUCUGAAAGAGCUCAAAGGUGGCUCCCUGGGGAGCUGCCAAAGCCAGUGGGCAGUGUGGCAGAUGUUACCCAUGGGUACCGGCCAUGCCCCCUGCCUUGCUCCACUGAAGAAAGGAUCAGCAUGCACCCCCACCCCCUGAUCGCCUUCCCAAGGGAUUUUGUAAACUAGAGGGGCUGUUGAUUUCACAAAUCCUCUUUCAGUAGGAAAUAUGUAUUUCCACAAGAGCUUCAUUUCCAUCAGUGGGUAGAAAUGGAAUUCUCUUCUUCAAUUCUCUUCACAGUGAAGAUGACCUCUGAAUAUUACAGGGGCUCCCAGUAGGACUCUAUGAGGACAUGUUUCCAAGAUGAGCUAUUGACUUUCUUUGGAAAGGAGAGUUAAAGCUGUCUGGGAUUAGGAGGGUGGGAAUGAGGAGAACCCCUUCAUUCUGGGAAUGAGUGACUUAAUUUCUGAAGCCUCUAGGGCUCUGUAUUUUCCAUAGUGUUCUAGCAUAGGUUAUGACAAGCUGUUAUGAUAACAAGCAAUUGUUGUAGGAGAAAUUCUCUAUGUUUCCUCCCAAUGGGUAGAGAAAAGUGGUACCUUUUAUUUUUAUUUUUUUGAGGGGCAAUGAGGGUUAAGUGACUUGCCCAGGGUCACACAGAUAGUAAGUGUCAAGUGUCUGAGGCCACAUUUGAACUCAGGUCCUUCUGAAUCCAGGGCUGGUGCUUUAUCCACUGUGCCACCUAGCUGCCCUCCAAGUGGUACCUUUUAUAAAGGAAUGAAUCCCUCUCAUGUGUCUCUUCCAUGAGGUGACAUGUGGGCAGUGCUGGCUUUCUGGAUACUUGAGAAAAAAGCAAAGAUGUUUUGAUAAAGUGUCUUUAUAAGAUCAUCCCUUUGAAUGCUAGGAGAGACCUUGGUUAAUAGCAAGAAAAAAACUGAUUAAAAGUUUCUGUACCUUAUGUGAUCACUAGGAUACUAUAUAUGCAGAAUAACAGCAGAAAGAGUACGGAGUUUGGUGGUAGGUAUCUGAGUUUGAAUCCUUGUUCUAUCUUUCACUCUUUGUAUGACCUUGGACCUGUCACUUGACUCAUUUUCUGUUUCCUUCUCUUUAAAAUGAAGGGUUAGACUAGAUAAUCGUAUGAAUGCUCAAAUCCCUUUUGGCUCUGAGAGUCAGAGGUUCUGUCUUAGGAUUGGAACUGGGAGGCACCUCAAAGGCUAUCUGGUUGUCUUACAAAGAAAAAAAGUGGUCCCAGUGGGUCAUCCCUGAUGCUAGGGAAACUGAGACUAAUAGAUAGCAUGAGUUAAAGUGUUCUGAGCUGAAGAAGGGCUGAGGCUGAUCAGGUGUACCCACUAAGACCUGUACCAAUACCAUGAGCCCCCCAGGAGUAGGGGGACUUUCAGGCUGGCUAAGAGAGUUUGUUUUUCAGUCAUGUCUGACUCUUCAUAACCCCAUUUAGGGUUUUCUUGGCAAAAAUACUGGGAAUAGCUCAUGUUAUAGAUGAGAAAACUGAGGCAAACAAGGUGAAGUAACCUACCCAGGGUCACACAACUAAUAAGUGUCUACUGCCAGAUUUGAAUUCAGGAUGCUAAGUCUUCUUCUGGGCCUGUCAUUCUAUCCACUGCGCCACCUAGCUGCCAAGAUAGAGACCAAGUCUCUCCCUCUCUUUUUUAGACUUAAGAGAGAAAGACCACAGCGAAGAGAGAGAGACAGAAAGGAGGAAAAUAAGCCACAGAGAGACCAGGGUCACUGAGUCAGUAAGUGGCCAAGCCAAGAUUCAAACCCAGGACCUGAAUUCUAGAUUCAGUAUAUUACUGUUGUCUGUCUCUUUCUGAGGUCCUCUGAAGGUCCUAUACUAAACCUGGGCAGGGUUUAGUACAAGUCUGUGUGGCCAAGAUAAAACAAAGAGAUGAACAAUUGAUUACCUGCUUCGUCUCAGCUAUCUCCAUGACCAGUCGGAAUUGAACCAUUCACCACAGAAUCAUAGAAUUGUAGCAUUGAAAGGGAUCUCAGCAACCAUAUAAUCCAACCCAUACCCAAAAAGGAAUCCCUCCUAGAACAUACCCAACGAGUGGCCAACCAGUCACUGUUUGAAGAUAUCCAAGAUGGAAGAAUCUAAUCCCUCUCCAGGGAGCCCUUUCCACUGUACUCCAAUCCAGUCUUUUCCUUUUCAACUCUAGGAAGGAAGAAGGAUUUGGGGAAAUAUCUCAUUUCUCAGCUGGUCCACUCCACACUGGGUACUAUGUUUACUUAUUAAAAAUGAGCAAAGGGGAGCAGCUAGGUGGCGCCAUGGAUAAAGCACUGGCCCUGGAUUCAGGAAGAGCUGAGUUCAAAUCUGACCUCAGACACUUGACACUUACUAGCUGUGUGACCCUGAGCAAGUCACUUAACUCUCAUUGCCCCAAGGAAAAAAAAUGAGCAAAAUGGCCUUUUUACAAUGACCAUGGAUAUAUAUAUAUAUAUAUUGGUCUUCAGAUUAUUCCUGCAAAUUGAGAGAGUAGUAGAGAUUACAACAUCCCCAUUUUACAGACUGGCAAACCAGAGUUCCCAUUUAUAUUUUCCAUGGACACUCAAAACAUUCUUGAAAAUCUGGAACUGACAGUCUACUUAUGCCAUUUGUGUAUCUUUCCAUUGCCUGCAGGGUUAUUUGUAAUUUUAAUUCUUUCCUUACAUUGAAAAAUAAAACUUGACCAGUCUUAGCACCUGAAAAAAAAAAAAAGAGAAGACAAUUUGGAACUGAGCAAUUUUACUUAUAAUGUCUUCUUUU